GGAAUAUUGGACAAUGGCCGGAAGGCUGAUCCAGCCAUGCCGCGUGAAGGAAUAAGGUCCUAUGGAUUGUAAACUUCUUUUGUACGAGAGCAAUAAGUGUCACGAGUGACACGAUGAGAGUAUCGUACGAAUAAGCAUCGGCUAACUCCGUGCCAGCAGCCGCGGUAAUACGGAGGAUGCGAGCGUUAUCCGGAUUUAUUGGGUUUAAAGGGUGCGUAGGCGGGAUUUUAAGUCAGCGGUGAAACGCAAGGGCUCAACCCUUGACCUGCCGUUGAAACUGGAGUUCUUGAAUGCGGAUGCUGUGGGAGGAAUGUGUGGUGUAGCGGUGAAAUGCAUAGAUAUCACACAGAACACCGAUUGCGAAGGCAUCUCACAAAUCCGUGAUUGACGCUGAGGCACGAAAGUGUGGGGAUCAAACA
rnacentral:rRNA from 1 species